rnacentral:rRNA from 1 species
CACGUAGGGCGCAAGCGUUGUCCGGAAUUAUUGGGCGUAAAGAGCUCGUAGGCGGCUUGUCGCGUCGGCUGUGAAAACCUGGGGCUCAACCCCGGGCCUGCAGCCGAUACGGGCAGACUAGAGUGCAGUAGGGGAGACUGGAAUUCCUGGUGUAGCGGUGAAAUGCGCAGAUAUCAGGAGGAACACCGAUGGCGAAGGCAGAAUCUCUGGGCCGUAACUGACGCUGAGGAGCGAAAGCAUGGGGAGCGAACAGG